rnacentral:RNase_P_RNA from 1 species
UAAGUAAUUCGUUCUAUCGCUUUCCGCCAAAGCGGGAAGAGGAAAGUCGGGGCAGCACAGAGCACCAUACUUCCUAACCGGAAGGUUCCAUUCUGGUGGAGUGGAAACAGCAAGUGCCACAGAAAAUAACUGCCGACGCCGGAGUUUUAGAUGAGGCCCGCCUUCGCUAAAGCUACGGCGGGCGAUGGUGAAAACGUGAGGUAAGAGCUCACGCCUCGGUGUGGCGACACACUGCGGGGGUAAACCUUAUGGGCUGAAAGACCAAAUACAUCAGGGAUUCCGCUACGGCGGAUGAAGGGCUGCUCGCCCGGGCCUGAGGGGUAGGUCGUAAGAGCCUCCCGGCAACGGCAGGCCUAGAUAAAUGAUAGAAUUUCCGCCUUCGGGCGGAUAACAGAAUCCCGCUUAUAGAAUUGCUAUCCAC